CUAUUAUAUACAAGUGGAAACGCGCACUCAAAUAAAAGGAAACAACUCGGUGCUACUAAUUCUGUUGGAAAAAUAAAUUGGUAAUCUCCAGCAUAACAAGGCGUCAGAGAUUAGAAGGACAGAUCGAAAACCGUAAACAAUGUGUGUACAAUAUGUGAUACAGAGGAAUACAAACUAUUACGCUGGUCUAACAUAAAAAAAA